rnacentral:snRNA from 1 species
AAACUCACCUGGCGCUGGAGGUUAUUCGUAAGAUUCGAGUCCACGCUCCCUGGCUGAGGUUGCCAUUGCACCGCGGCAACUGAGGCUUACAUCUACUCCAAAUUGGGUAGGGUUGAGGCGUUUAAUUUCUGGUAGUUAAAAGGAAGCCAUUCAUUGCCGCUUUUC